AGGGUAAUAGCUCAGUGGUAGAGUCCAUGCUCAGUGUGCAUGAAGUCCUGGGUUUAAUCCCCAGUACCUCCA
rnacentral:tRNA from 1 species